rnacentral:rRNA from 1 species
UAAUGGCCCACCAAGGCUUCGACGGGUAGCCGGCCCGAGAGGGUGACCGGCCACACUGGGACUGAGACGCGGCCCAGACUCCUACGGGAGGCAGCAGUGGGGAAUAUUGGACAAUGGGCGAAAGCCUGAUCCAGCAACGCCGCGUGAGGGAUGACGGCCUUCGGGUUGUAAACCUCUUUCAGUACCGACGAAGCGCUCCUAGGAGUGGUGACGGUAGGUACAGAAGAAGGACCGGCCAACUACGUGCCAGCAGCCGCGGUAAUACGUAGGGUCCGAGCGUUGUCCGGAAUUAUUGGGCGUAAAGGGCUCGUAGGCGGUCUGUUGCGUCGGGAGUGAAAUCUUACAGCUUAACUGUGAACUUGCUUUCGAUACGGGCAGACUUGAGGCAUUCAGGGGAGAACGGAAUUCCUGGUGUAGCGGUGAAAUGCGCAGAUAUCAGGAGGAACACCGGUGGCGAAGGCGGUUCUCUGGGAAUGGCCUGACGCUGAGGAGCGAAAGUGUGGGGAGCGAACAGGAUUAGAUACCCUGGUAGUCCACACCGUAAACGUUGGGCGCUAGGUGUGGGGCCUAUUCCAUGGGUUCCGUGCCGCAGCUAACGCAUUAAGCG